ACCUGGCUGGUUCAGUUGGUAGAGCAUGUGACUCUCGAUCUCAGCAUCAUGAGUUCGAGCCCCAUGCUGGGUG